rnacentral:rRNA from 1 species
CUACGGGACGCUGCAGUGAGGAAUAUUGCACAAUGGGGGAAACCCUGAUGCAGCAACGCCGCGUGGAGGAUGACGCAUUUCGGUGUGUAAACUCCUUUUAUAUAGAAAGAAAAUGACGGUACUAUAUGAAUAAGCACCGGCUAACUCCGUGCCAGCAGCCGCGGUAAUACGGAGGGUGCAAGCGUUACUCGGAAUCACUGGGCGUAAAGGACGCGUAGGCUGUUUAGCAAGUCAGAUGUGAAAUCCUAUGGCUUAACCAUAGAACUGCAUUUGAAACUGCUAGACUAGAGUAUGGGAGGGGGAGAUGGAAUUAGUGGUGUAGGGGUAAAAUCCGUAGAUAUCACUAGGAACACCCAAAGCGAAGGCGAUCUCCUGGAACAUUACUGACGCUAAGGCGUGAAAGCGUGGGGAGCAAACAGGAUUAGAUACCCCGGUAGUC